rnacentral:lncRNA from 1 species
UCUCAGUAAACAAGCGUGCUGAUAACAGAAGCCCUGAAUGCAGUCAGAAGUCAAAUGCGUGUCUUGGUGGAUCCUAGUCCAGAUUUAGCUUGAGACCCUCAGUUUUGGACUGAGGUGUAUGGGAAUCUGUGUCCUUAAUCCUGUGGUGAAUCUGUUAGUUGUCUGCUUGUGCUGUGUAUGAAUCCUGGGACAAGGUAGUAGUAGCAGAUGAUACAUUUCUGAAAACUAUGGAGAAGUGGAAGGCGUGUAGUUACAGGAAGAGACAGUGUGGUAACAGAGAAACACAAGUUGCUAGAAGCUUUGGUGGCUAGAGAAGGAAGCACAGAAGCAGAGACUUCAGAGCAACUGGAAGAAAAAGUAUAUAAGCUGAUAUUCCAUUUUCAAGGCUAAAUUUGAAUUAUUUUAUGAGAUACUUUCAUCUCAGUAUAGGUUAGCAUUCCUCAGCUUUUUAUAUUUGUAUAUAAAUAUUUUUCUUGAAGUAAAGUCAUUGGAAGUAAGAGCUCUUCUAUGUCACUUAUUUUAAUACUCUAAUAUAUUUCCCCUAGUUAAUCAUUUCUAUUUCUAAAUAUAAAUUUCCUUUCCUUUUCUUUCAAGUCACUUAAAAUGAAAGGGCCUGCUUUACUCUUUGACCUUCUCUAACAAGCAGACCCUUGAAAUGCAGCAUUUCCAGAAAGCAAGCUGUAGGAACAACAGAUGGAUUUAGUAAAUUACAGCCUGCAGAUGAAUUGUAUGAGGAGUAAGUUUGAGAUGAAGACUUAAAAUACACAGAAAUUUUCUGUGCUGUAGCUUGUUUCUUGCUGUCAAGCACUGCCUGUUAAAUGCGUAAUUUGUGUGAUGUUAGCCUUCUGUACUGAUUGAUUGGUAGAAGUCAUUCUGCCCCAAAUUACCAGCUAUUUGGGUCUCAGCCUGCAAUCUUACCCAGCCAGAAGACCGUGUCCUCUAGACACAGACUGGAGCACCAUCCUUUUCACUCAAGCUAAGCCAGUUCUGGGAGAGCCCUGUGGCUCUGGAAGUGAAAAGCAAUCAAGGUGGCCUCUUCCCCGUUCCCACCAUAGACUUCUGGCAGCAGAGUGCAGUUGCAUCAUCUCUGUGGAGCUUCCAGGCAAGGU